GUCCGCAACGAGCGCAACCCUACGUUUAGUUGCUAACGCGUGAAGGCGAGCACUCUAGACGAACUGCCGUUGACAAAACGGAGGAAGGUGGGGAUGACGUCAAAUCAUCAUGCCCCUUAUGUUCUGGGCUACACACGUGCUACAAUGGCCGGUACAGACGGACGCAAAGCCGCGAGGUGGAGCAAAUCCUAAAAAGCCGGUCUCAGUUCGGAUUGCAGGCUGCAAUUCGCCUGCAUGAAGUCGGAAUCGCUAGUAAUCGCAGGUCAGCAUACUGCGGUGAAUACGUUCCCGGGCCUU
rnacentral:rRNA from 1 species